GCUAGAGUGUGGGAGAGGAAGAUGGAAUUAGUUGUGUAGGGGUAAAAUCCGUAGAGAUAACUAGGAAUACCAAAAGCGAAGGCAAUCUUCUGGAACACUACUGACGCUGAGGCGCGAAAGCGUGGGGAGCAAACAGGAUUAGAUACCCUGGUAGUCCACGCAGUAAACGAUGAAUGUUAGUCGUCGGGUAGCUAGUCUAUUCGGUGAUGCAGCUAACGCAUUAAACAUUCCGCCUGGGGAGUACGGUCGCAAGAUUAAAACUCAAAGGAAUAGACGGGGACCCGCACAAGUGGUGGAGCAUGUGGUUUAAUUCGAAGAUACGCGAAGAACCUUACCUAGCCUUGACAUAUUUUAGAAUCUUUCAGAGAUGAGAGAGUGCCUUCGGGAGCUAAUAUACAGGUGCUGCACGGCUGUCGUCAGCUCGUGUCGUGAGAUGUUGGGUUAAGUCCCGCAACGAGCGCAACCCUCGUCACUAGUUACUAACGGUUCGGCCGAGGACUCUAGUGAGACUGCCUUCGCAAGGAGGAGGAAGGUGAGGACGACGUCAAGUCAUCAUGGCCCUUACGGCUAGGGCAACACACGUGCUACAAUGGUUAGGACAAUGAGACGCAAUACCGCGAGGUGGAGCAAAUCUAUAAACCUAAUCUCAGUUCGGAUUGUUCUCUGCAACUCGAGAACAUGAAGCUGGAAUCACUAGUAAUCGUAGAUCAGCUAUGCUACGGUGAAUACGUUCCCGGGUCUUGUACUCACCGCCCGUCACACCAUGGGAGUUGAUUUCACCCGAAGCGGGGAAGCUAAACUGGCUACCCUCCACGGUGGAAUUAGCGACUGGGGUGAAGUCGUAACAAGGUAACCGUA
rnacentral:rRNA from 1 species